AUACGAGGGGUGCAAGCGUUAAUCGGAAUUACUGGGCGUAAAGCGUUCGUAGGCGGUUUGUUAAGCAAGAUGUGAAAGCCCUGGGCUCAACCUGGGAACUGCAUUUUGAACUGGCAAGCUAGAAUACUGUAGAGGGUGGUGGAAUUUCCAGUGUAGCGGUGAAAUGCGUAGAGAUUGGAAGGAACAUCAGUGGCGAAGGCGGCCACCUGGACAGAUAUUGACGCUGAGGAACGAAAGCGUGGGGAGCGAACAGGAUUAGAUACCCCAGUAGUCC
rnacentral:rRNA from 1 species